rnacentral:rRNA from 1 species
AGAGUCAAAUAGUACGUGAAAUUGUUGAAAGGGAAACGAUUGAAGUCAGUCGUACCGGCGGAUAAUCAGCCUUUCGGAUGCGAUUCUGUGGAGCGUGAGGAGUUAACCGCCUUCAUGCCUGUUUAUUCGUAUACUUUGGGUGUACUUGUUCGUAUGGUAGGUUAACAUCAAUUUCGGAUGUCAUAAAAUGGCUGGGGGAAUGUAGCUUUGAUCUCGUAUUGAAGUGUUAUAGCCUUCGGUAGAUGUGAUGAUCGGGAUUGAGGAUUGCAACGAAUACCCUUCGGGGCUACUCGUCUGAUCUCUGAUUGUUGGUCUGGUGCUGAAAGCUUGCUUACGGUAUCAAAGUUGAUGGUCAAUAGGUUAGAACGGGUUAAAUUCGUUAAGGAUGUUGACGUAAUGACUUUAAACGACC